CAAUAAGCAGGGACAUCUUCCACUACAUCAGUUGCUCAGAGCCCUGUCCAGUCUGGCCUUGAAUGUUUCUGGAAAUGAGGCAUCUACCACUGUAAAGGACUGUGUCUAGAAGAUGUUUAUACCAAUGAAUGUCUGCCUCAACAUUGCUGGACUGUGUCAAAACCCCCAACGGAUGUCUGCCUCAGCAUUGUUGGAGCACCCUACCUCCUACUAAGUUUCUGAUGCUUUAGCAAACAUAGUUACAGAAACUGCUACACCCCCAUAAGCCCAGACAUCCAUGUAACACUACAAAGAACAAUACAUCCUUGAAGGUGAAGGAAGCAGGGCAACCUUGGAGAUAAGACAGAGAGACCCUGAGCUUGCAUCAAUCCUGUUAGACCAGUUUGAACCACUUAAGGAUGCAAAUCCAAUUAAAGUCAAACAUUCAAUCAGGAGGAAGAUGCAGAGCCUUCAUCAGUUGACCACCGAAGGACACCCUACCACCACGACCACCACCACAUUUGAUAGAGCAUGUAAAUGAUUUACUGGAAAUCCCCAAACCUUUCCUGGAAAACCUAUGCAUAUGGAUAACCUCACCCUUGCACAUGCGCCCAGACCCAGGGAUGGAAAAAAGACCCUGAAACCCCCCCCCCCGCCCCCCCCAUAGAGACAGUAUUGGGCAUGUGCACCAUCACUGAGUGGUGAGUGAGGGCGAACAAGACAGUUUUUAGGAUAUGCCAAUCAAUUCUCAGGAGGAGCGACAACACCUCAAUAUAAGAGCCAUGACAACCAGUAUCAAAUGGAAUUCCCUACCUGAAGUCCAUUAGGACUGAUGGGACUCUGGAGCUCCGUGGUGAUAAAAUUUUUGAUGCCUGCCUGAAGAAAUACACGAAGCUAUUAAUUGUCUGCAUAGCUCUUGUGAUCAAUUUCCUGUACCUUAGUUUGAACUUGAGGGUGUCUUCACGGUCUUGGAGGAUUGGAAGGAGGAGGUGGUUUUCUUCUGCACCAACCAUGAAAAACACAUUGACAUAUUGAAAUAACGAUGAGCAUCAUGAGUAGCACAAUGAACAAUCCAAACAGCAAAGCAGCGCACAAUGGAUCAUCUGUUACUCCCAUUCUUCUGAAGCUGCAGUUUGUGGUGAGAUGGGUGAGUCAGUUUGUGGCCCUUGUGGUCAAGGCCCAGGCUAAAGGCUCAACCAAGGUUAGGGUCCGCAUGCGCAAUGAGGGGAGAUUUUCUUCCACCCAAAAUGCAUGCGUAGCCUGGAUUUGGACCCAGCCUUGUAGUUCUGUUUUGCCAUCCAGGUAUAGCAGAACUUUUGAGACCCCCCAACAACACAUGCGCUUUGUUAAAGGGGCGUGGAAGUCCAUUAGUCCAUUUUCCUGCUGCGUAUGCUGACCCCGACUUCCAACUCAAUCCCAACAGACCAGGCCAGCUGACCGCUUGCCUUGCGUAGGCCAAAACCGCUCUGUUUUGUAUUUCCCAAACUGUGAAAACAGUGGAAUACAUAUGAUGGUACCAAUCUAUUAUGCAGCUUUAUCUUUGUUACUUAUUGCUUUAUUUGCUCUUGUGAUAUGUACUUUUUAUCCUUGUGAAUGUUUGUCUUGUAAAUGCUCAUGUAAACCAUAAUUGUCUUGUCAGCUAACCCCUCAAGUACAAGAAACAGCAGUA